AUCUAACUGACGAGUCCCAAAUAGGACGAAAUGCGCAUCCUGGAU
rnacentral:hammerhead_ribozyme from 1 species